CCGAGUUGUUCUUGAGACUCGGCGAGUUGAGUCGUGGUUGCCCCGCGAUUCAUGCCAAGUGGAACUCAUCGAGUUAGGGAAGUACUCGACGUGCUAAGAGAGGAUCCAAGGGAGUCAGUGAACGCGUAUAGACUCGUCGAGGUUCUUUGGUGCACUCGCCGAGUCCGGUCAAAGUUGACUGUUGACCAGAGUUGACCAGUGUUGACUUGAUAGGGUUAGUCAACCUUAGUUGUAAAGGUGCUAAUGAGAAAUAUAUUGUAUUAUAGGAAGAUAAUAGUUCGGGGGAUCGAGCACGAGUGAUUCCAGGGAUUUGCGAGUUAUCGAGAUACACGAGGUGAGUCUUCUCACUAUACUUUACCUUGAGUAGGUACUAGAGUAUUUGAUACAGUGUUUGUAUGCUAUAUAUGGGUUAUGUGUUGCACUGCAUUAUUCUAUGUGAUUUAUGAUGUGCAUGUUUACAGAGUUAGAAUCUGAGGGUUUCCCAAAAUACCCUUAUAUUAUAUGUUUAUGAGCUUGAUAUGAUGUAUUCUCUUGCUAGAGUAGGCUAGGUAUUCCUAUUAGGACUAGAGUGCCCUGAUUCGUGAUGCCUUAGCCUAGGGAGAGGUGAGCUGCUAUGAGAUGCUUGAGAGUGAAUAAGUAGCAGCGAGGAGCUUAUGAGAGAUCUGUUAGAGAGUGAUAGAGUACUUGGAAUUUGGGAUCCGAAGAGGAGGAUUUGUGGUGUAUACUGAAACGGUGCAGACAGUUGAAAGCACCGAGGCGGUAUACAGUUCAAGUAAGAACCUUCGGAAUGCCAAGGAUCAAGGAGGGAAGAGUUGUCGAGUGUGAGUAUGCUCGAAUGGAUUCUAAUUUAUCGUAUGUUGUAUUUCAGAGGUAGAUCAUGGUGAGGACACGUCUUAUGCCAGAGAGCAAUGGGGCUAGUGAUGAGGAGAUCCACCGGAUCAUCCACGAGGAGGUGGUUGCGGCCAUCAGGGCAAAGAUACCAGAGAUGUUCGGGUCAAUUAAGACCACGCUGAUUGAGACUUUUGAUGAUCGUUAUGCUGCUCUUUCUGAGGCUACUGUUGCGGCGGCCACUGCAGCUGUUGCUGCUGUGAGGCCACAGGGUGGUGAUGCAUUGCUGUUCCGAGAGUUCAGCAACACGAAACCGCCAGAGUUUGACGGGACCCAAGACCCGGUGGCGGCUAUGAGGUGGAUUUCAGACAUGGAGGUGUGUUUCUUCGCUUGCUCAUCUCCUGAGCAUUUGAGAGUUCGGUUCGCGCUGAACCAGCUUCGCUUGGGAGCGAAGGACUGGUGGAAGUUUGUGACAACACACUUUUCGCCUGCUGAGCUUGCGGCAGUGACCUGGGAGAGGUUUACCGCCAUGCUCCGAGAUGAGUACGUUCCCUAGGUGGAGAGGGAGCGUUUGGCCUAGAAGUUUCUGACCCUCAAGCAGGGUACUGAGUCUGUUACGGUAAUUACCAGAAUGUUCCACGAAAGGGCAAUGUUCUGCCCUAAGCACGUGUCCACUGAGCAGGCACGCAUGAGCCGAUAUUUGAGUAUCUUGAGGCUUGACAUUCGGGAGUUCGUGGUGAACUCCUCGUACCGGACAUUUUCCAAGCUUCAGUAAAAUGCUCGGAAGAGGGAGAUUGAGCUAGAGACUCAGGCCAGGGAGGAGGCGGAGUUUCAGGGGAGGGAUCGGCGACCGNCCCCCGCGGGCAGCCAAGCGGGCCAAGCCCGCUGAUCCCAAAUCUGGGAGCCAGAAGGGUCGCACUUAUGGAAAGUGCGGCAAGGGUCAUGAUGGAGUAUGUAGAGAUGGAUCUUGCUACAAAUGUGGCAAGGAGGGGCAUAUGGCCAGGGACUGCCCCAAGGGGUUUGCAGUAUGUUUUCACUGCAACCAGACCGGACACCGGAAGGCGGAGUGUCCGUAGUUGCGGGGAUCAGCUCAGCGAGCACCUCAGGGAUCUGCCCCUGCCGCCAUCAGAGUUACCGAGAGUCGGCCAGUGAAGGCCGAGGCGCUGAGGGCACGAGGGAGAGCCUUUCAGUUGACCGCGGAGGAGGUCCGUGCAGCGCCCAAUGUCGUGGCUGGUAUGUAUUCUUUCGUGUAUUUAUUUUGAUGUUGAGAUAUUAUGCUUAUAUUAUGUUAUGCGUAGGUACUUUUCUUGUGAAUUCUGUACCUGCCUUGGUGUUAUUUGACUCGGGUGCGAGUCGGUCUUUUGUAUCUUUGGCUUUUAGUCAUCAUAUCAGUGUUAGUCGCGAGGCGUUGAGUCGGCCUCUGAGAGUUUCCAUAGCUGAUGAGAGGGUGAUAUAUGCCACGGAGGUUCUCCGAGGUUGCGUAGUCGAGAUUUUCGGUGUUGAGUUCCCGAUUGAUCUGGUUCCUAUUGCGAUGGGUGAUGUCUGUGUCAUUGUGGGCAUGGACUGGUUGAGCAGAUUCGGUGCGGUUAUCGACUGCGAGCGACAGCUGGUGACCAUACGAGACCCUAGUGGGGGAGUUCUUACGGUGUACGGCGAGGGUACACGUUCUGGGUCAGCGUUUUGUUCGGCCGCUAGGGUGAGGCAGUGUCUACAGCAGGGCUGUAAGGGUUUUGUGGCAUACGUGAUGGAUACGCGGGUUGAUUCCGAUAGGCCAAAGUCAGUGGAGGAGGUUCCGGUAGUGCGUGAGUUCCCAGAUGUCUUUCCAGAGGAGUUGCCGGGUGUGCCUCCCGUGAGGCAAGUGGAGUUCAGUAUCGAUUUGGUUCCGGGAGCCGUGCCUAUUGCCAAGGUGCCUUAUCGCCUUGCACCUUUAGAGAUGCAAGAGUUGUCCUCGCAGCUUCAGGAGCUGUUGGGAAAGGGGUUUAUUCGGCCGAGCAGCUCGCCGUGGGGAGCGCCUAUCCUUUUUGUCAAGAAGAAGGAUGGUUCACACCGGAUGUGCAUUGAUUACCGGGAGUUGAACAAGCUGACGGUCAAGAACCGUUACCCGUUGCCGAGGAUCGACGAUUUGUUCGAUCAGUUGCAGGGAGCAUCUUGGUUCUCCAAGAUCGAUUUGAGGUCUGGAUAUCAUCAGGUGAGGGUGCGGGAUGAGGACGUCCAGAAGACAGCGUUCAGGACGCGUUAUGGGCAUUACGAGUUUGUGGUGAUGCCUUUCGGGCUCACCAAUGCCCCGGCAGUGUUCAUGGAUCUCAUGAACCGAGUGUGCAGGCCGAUGCUGGAUCGGUCAGUGAUUGUAUUCAUCGAUGACAUCUUGGUAUAUUCGAGAUCUAGAGAGCAGCAUGAGGAGCAUUUGAGGGAGAUCCUCGGAGUUCUGAGAUCGGAGAGGCUUUAUGCCAAAUUCUCCAAGUGUGAUUUCUGGUUGCGAGAGGUCCAGUUCCUAGGGCAUCUCGUUAACCAGAAAGGGAUAUUGGUCGACCCGGCCAAAGUUGAGGCGGUGAUGAGUUGGGAGGUGCCGAGGUCACCCUCCGAGAUCAGGAGUUUUCUAGGGUUGGCCCGUUAUUAUCGGAGAUUUAUCAAGGAUUUCUCUAAGAUCGCAGUGCCACUCACCAGAUUGACCCAGAAGGGUGUCGCUUUUUCAUGGGGCCCCGAGCAGUAGGCCUCCUUUGAGAUGCUUCGCCAAAGGUUAUGCGAGGCCCCGGUGUUAGCCCUCCUGGAGGGAAUGGAGGACUUUGUGGUAUACUGUGAUGCAUCGAUCUUGGGGUUGGGANGAUGCAGAGAGGGCAUGUGAUAGAAUACGCAUCGAGGCAGCUGAAGCCACAUGAGACGAGGUAUCCCACCCAUGACCUAGAGUUGGGGGCAGUGGUGUUCGCCCUCAAGAUUUGGCGACACUAUCUAUAUGGGGUUCGGUGUACGAUAUACACGGACCAUAAGAGCCUGAAAUAUUUAAUGGAUCAGCCCAACCUAAAUAUGCGGCAGAGGAGGUGGUUGGAUGUGGUUAAGGAUUAUGAUUGUGAGAUCAUGUACCAUCCGGGCAAGGCUAAUGUGGUAGCCGACGCCCUGAGUCGCAGGGCGGAGAGCGCCCCGUUGCGAGGUGUAUGUUUGUGUUUGACCGUGAUGGCUCCGGUGUUGGACACCAUUCGUGGAGCACAGGCUGAGGCCGUGAGUUCGGAGAACCAAAAGAGGGAGUGAGUGGUAGGGUUGGUAUCGGAGUUCGUUACCGGUGGUCGGGGGCUUAUGACAUUUCAGGGGCGGAUUUGGGUGUCGUUUGUGGGAAGGAUGCGUACCAUUUUGAUGGAAGAAGCUCAUCGGUCGAAAUUCUCGAUCCAUCCUAGGGCCACUAAGAUGUAUUUGGAUCUGAGGAGAGAGUAUUGGUGGCCCUGUAUGAAGAGGGAUGUUGCGUGGUUUGUUGAGAGGUGCUUAACCUGCCGUAGGGUUAAGGCCGAGCACCAGAGACCGCAUGGUAAGUUGCAGCCGUUGGAGGUUCCCGAAUGGAAGUGGGAACAGAUCACCAUGGAUUUUAUCACCAAAUUGCCAAGGACUGCUAGGGGAGUCGAUGCAAUUUGGGUGAUUGUGGACAGGUUGACGAAGAGCGCCCACUUCCUUGCUAUUAGUGAGAGCUCCUCCGCAGAGAAGUUAGCAGAGAUGUACGUGAGGGAAGUAGUAUCUCGGCAUGGGGUGCCGAUCUCGAUUGUCUCAGACCGAGAUGUACGUUUCACUUCCAGAUUCUGGAAGAAGUUUCAUGACAAGCUGGGUACUAGGCUGCAUUUCAGUACCGCAUAUCACCCCCAGACAGACGGACAGAGUGAGCAGACGAUUCAGACACUCGAGGACAUGCUUCGAGCGUGUGUAUUAGAUUUCGGGGGUAGCUGGNACGUACUUGCCCUUGGCAGAGUUUUCUUACAACAACAGCCAUCAUUCGAGCAUUGGUAUGCCACCCUUUGAGCUGUUGUAUGGGAGGAGGUGUCGGACCCCGAUUUGCUAGGGAGAAGUCAGACAGCGUGUUAUGGGCAGUACUUAGAUCGUACUUCAGACGACAGAGCAGAUCCAGCAGGUCAGAUAGAGGUUGUUGACCACUCAGAGUCGUCAGAAGAGUUAUGCGGACAGACGCCGGUCCGAGCUUGAGUUUUAGGUCGGUGACUUUGUGCUCCUGAAGGUCUCUCCUUGGAAAGGAGUGAUUCGAUUCAGGAAGAGGGGCAAGUUGGGGCCCCGAUAUAUUGGUCCAUUUCGGGUGGUCGCGAGGGUAGGCAGGGUAGCCUAUCGUUUGGAAUUGCCAGCAGAGUUGGGGCAGAUUUACGACACUUUCCAUGUGUUGCAAUUACGGAAGUGUAUAGCUGAUGAGUCAGCAGUGGUUCCAUUAGAGGAUAUUCAGGUGGAUGCGAGCUUGAAUUAUGCUGAGAGGCCAGUGGCAAUCAGAGAUCGGAAAAUCAAGGUUCUGAGGAACAAAGAGGUACCCUUGGUUUUUGUUCAGUGGCAGCAUCGGAAGGGGUCCGAUGUGACUUGGGAGCCGGAGCAUGAGAUGCGCGAGCAGCAUCCGGAGUUAUUUGUAGAGCGAGACUUCGAGGGCGAAGUCUAGUUCUAGUGGGGGAGAAUUGUAACAGCUCGGAUUCCCAAAUAUUUUUCAUUCAUAUAUUUUUUGGUAUUUUGUGAGGAGACUCGGAGAGUUGGAGCUCAAACUCGCCGAGUAGGAUCACGAUUUUGGACGAGGGUUCGCGUCUGGACUCGGCAAGUCCAAGGAGUGGACUCGGCGAGGCCACACUGUUUAAUGAAACCCUAAUUAUCCGGGGUUGGAGCCUAUUUAAGGGCACUUAUAGCCUCCCAUUGCGGCUACCAGUCCCUUGAGAGAACCCUAAGAGAGCUAAUUCGUUUUGGGAGAGAGGAAGUCACUUUUGGGCCUUUGUAUUCUUUGUUUAGCAAGAGGAAGGUGGCAAGAGCAAGGAGGAGGUGGGAUUACAGCAGAUCCAGAGUCCAGAGGCUUCAUUUUGAGGUAAUGGCUCGAAUCUCCUUCAGUUAUAGGGAUGAUCUGUAGAGUUAGGGUUUUAUAACACCUUUGGAGAGUGAUUAUGUGAAGCAAAUGGUCCCUCUUCGAGUUUGUGCCUUGGAUCUGGACUCAAAGAGGUCCAGAGACCUUAACCAUUGGAGCUUUUCGGGUUAUUAAUGAGUCAUUGGACCUAGGUGGUUAUUUUUGGGACCAAAUUUCCUUUUGAUGCCUUGUGGGGGUUUUACAAGCAUCAAGUUUCAAACUUUACGUGACAUUCAUGCUUGGGAAGGCCAGAUCUAUGGUUUGGGAAAGCAGAUCUGACCUUAGAAGGUCAAUAAAGUUUGUGCAUGGCAUGAACUCGCCGAGUUGUUCUUGGGACUCGGCGAGUAGGGUUGGGGUUUCACGUAAAGUGUUCAGCGAGUGGACUCGUUGGGUUGGGGGAUGACCUAGUGAGUCAGGGAGGGUCAAUAUGGGGCUAAGUCAAGCCGGAACUUGCCGAGUUGUUCUUGAGACUCGGCGAGUUGAGUCGUGGUUGCCUCGCGAUUCAUGCCAGGUGGAACUCGUCGAGAUAGGGAAGUACUCGACGUGCCAAGAGAGGAUCCAAGGGAGUCAGUGAACGCGUAUAGAGUCGCCGAGUUGCUUUGGUGCACUCGCUGAGUCCAGUCAAAUUUGACCGUUGACCAGAUUUGACCAGUGUUGACUUGAUAGGGUUAGUCAACCUUAGUUGUAAAGGUGCUAAUUAGAAAUAUAUUGUAUUAUAGGAAGAUUAUAGUUCGGGGGAUCGAGCACAAGUGAUUCCAGGGAUUUGCGAGUUAUCCAGAUACACGAGGUGAUUCUUCUCACUAUACUUUACCAUGAGUAGGUACUAGAGUAUGUGAUACAGUGUGUGUAUGCUAUAUAUGUGUUAUGUGUUGCACUGCAUUAUUCUAUGUGAUUUAUGUUGUGCAUGUUUACAGAGUUAGAACUUGAGGGUUCACAGAGUUUGGGUGCACGGACCCACAGAGUUAUAGCCUCGAGUGGCUAAUAUGUGUUAUAUGUGGUAUUUUGGGGAGCUGACUAAGAUUUGUGCUUACAGUGUUUGGUGUUAUUUGUUUCAGGUACUAGUGACGACCGUGGGAAGGCGCCGGCUUGAUCAGUACACAUACACGGGAUUUUAUGUUAUGAGAUCUUGGGAUUUUUGUAUGACAUGAAUUGAAUUUCAAACAUGGGUGUUUUUACGAAUAUUAAAUGAAUUAUGUUUUUAUAAAAUGCGAAAAAUUGUUUUGAAAUUUACGGUGUUACAAGAUACUAACCCCACCCACACUCAGCCACUGAGGAAACCUACAAGUAUCACACAGACAACAAGUAUAGCUACUUCUAUCAACCAGGCAUAUAUCCCUAAUGAAACUAAGUUGUGAGAUACGGGCCCCGCCCAC
rnacentral:lncRNA from 1 species